CCCAGCAUUCCCGAGGACCGCGGGGGGCGGGCUCCCUCCGGGGCGGCGGGCCGCCCGGCCCCCCUCCGCCGCCGCCGCUACCGCCGCGACCCUCCCCGCGCUGCCGGGCGCCCGGGGACCAGGCCGGCGGCCACAGAGCCGGGGCCCGGGGGGCACCCGGGGGAGGACGCGCGACCGGCUCUCAGGUCAGGCUUCGGAGUGGCUUCGGGGUCCCCACACCCCGGCCCCCGCCGUGCGCUUACUCUUCCUUAGGAGGGUCGGAGGGCUUUCCUAAGAGGUUUACUUUCUUGUCCCCCUAAGGGAAACAGAGGGGAAGAUGAAGAAGGGAGUGAGAAACAAACCCUGCUCCUCGCCGUCCUCAGCGUCGUCGCUGCCCUCGUUCGCCGAGCGCCUUCCGGAAGCCCGCCAGGUGCGCGCCGUCCCGGGAUCCAUUAGACCUUGUCACAUCACCUUCCCUCCUUGGCCAUAGGGAUUGCAGCAAGGACUGGACACAUGACCACAGCCAGGCCAAUCAGAAUCCUUCCCCAGGAUUUUUCAGCUGGAGCUCUGUACUCCUCUAGUCAAGGAGCUCUAGGAAUGUCAUAACAGACCUGGGGGUGUCCAUGGCUCCACUCUCACGGAAAAGUCGCGAAUGCUGAUAAGCAGAGAUAAGAAGCAGAGAGAGAGAGAGGGAGUCUUGGCCCUGAGCAUACUCAGCUCUGCGAUCCCAUUGUGGAGGACCCAGAAGUUGCCGUCAUUCCCAAAGUCUUUUUGUGCAGCACGGUCCCCAGUUCUCCAAGCUACUCCAGCAUCCUUCUAGAUCCAUGGGGCUGAAGUACUUCCAGGUCAGAAGUAAACCAGAGGUGACUGUGGGGUUUCUGGCUUGUCUCUGCCUUCAAGAUUUGCCUUUUGACCUUAGGUAAGUAAUUGUAUGGUAGGGACUUUAUUAGAUGGAGCAGAAACCGGAUGGCUGACCCUCUCCCAUUGGCCAUCCACAGAGGAAGACCCAAAGAUAAACAAAUAAGGCUUUAGUCUAUCAUACUUUAUUCAGCAUAAUCUGAGGCUGUUCCCUGUGGCUGAACAUUAUCUUUUGUAGCACGUACAAGUCCAUUACAAGCUGACACUGAUGACAGCUGGUAGCACAUUUUAGCUUUCCAUUUGUUUGAUUUAUCAAUCAUGUACCUAACACCCCUUGGAGGAACAAACUACUGGUUUUAUCCCUAUUGACAAAUAAGAAAACUGAGGCACAGGGCUCCCCUAGUUUUACAUGACUGGGACUAAUGUCAUGACCUUUGACCUCUCUAAUCUAUUCAUAG